UACGUAGGUGGCAAGCGUUGUCCGGAUUUACUGGGCGUAAAGAGCGCGCAGGCGGUCGUUCAAGUCGCGUGUGAAAGCCCCCGGCUCAACUGGGGAGGGUCACGCGAUACUGAUCGACUCGAAGGCAGGAGAGGGUAGUGGAAUUCCCGGUGUAGUGGUGAAAUGCGUAGAGAUCCGGAGAACACCAGCGGCGAAGGCGGCGUCCUGGACUGGUACUGACGCUCAGGAGCGAAAGCGUGGGGAGCGAUCCGG
rnacentral:rRNA from 1 species